GGUGAACGCUGGCGGCGUGCCUAAUACAUGCAAGUCGAGCGAACAGACGAGGAGCUUGCUCCUCUGACGUUAGCGGCGGACGGGUGAGUAACACGUGGAUAACCUACCUAUAAGACUGGGAUAACUUCGGGAAACCGGAGCUAAUACCGGAUAAUAUAUUGAACCGCAUGGUUCAAUAGUGAAAGACGGUUUUGCUGUCACUUAUAGAUGGAUCCGCGCCGCAUUAGCUAGUUGGUAAGGUAACGGCUUACCAAGGCGACGAUGCGUAGCCGACCUGAGAGGGUGAUCGGCCACACUGGAACUGAGACACGGUCCAGACUCCUACGGGAGGCAGCAGUAGGGAAUCUUCCGCAAAGGGCGAAAGCCUGACGGAGCAACGCCGCGUGAGUGAUGAAGGUCUUCGGAUCGUAAAACUCUGUUAUUAGGGAAGAACAAAUGUGUAAGUAACUAUGCACGUCUUGACGGUAUCUAAUCAGAAAGCCACGGCUAACUACGUG
rnacentral:rRNA from 1 species